UACGUAGGGUGCAAGCGUUGUUCGGAUUUACUGGGCGUAAAGGGAGCGUAGGCGGAUCAGCAAGUUGGGAGUGAAAUCCACAGGCACAACCUGUGGGUUGCUUCCAAAACUGCUGAUCUUGAGUAUGGGAGAGGAUGAUGGAAUUCCAGGUGUAGCGGUGGAAUGCGUAGAUAUCUGGAAGAACACCAGUUGCGAAGGCGGUCAUCUGGCCCAAUACUGACGCUGAGGCUCGAAAGCUAGGGGAGCAAACAGG
rnacentral:rRNA from 1 species